rnacentral:ncRNA from 1 species
AACAUAUCGCGAAAUAUCAUUUUGAGGAAUUCUAACAGAAGUUUCUAUUGGUAGUGUAAGUUGGGCAAAGGGUCUUAUUUUUUAAAGUAUUUCAAAGUAAAAUUACAUGUUAAUACGUAGUAUUAAUGGCGAGACUCCUGAGGGAGCAGUGCCAGUCGAAGACCGAGGCUGAGACGGCACCCUAGGAAAGCGAGGCCAUUCAAUACGAAGUAUUGUAUAAAUAGAGAACAGCAG